UUUGACUUUUCGUCUUAUUUGAAUUUUUUUGUAAUUAAUAUUUUUAUUGUUACUAGAUGAUAAAAACAUGAAUAAUACUUUAUACGUAACUAUUUUUUUAAGUUUUUGCACAAAAUUUUCAAAUAAGACAAAUGAUUAAA
rnacentral:pre_miRNA from 1 species